AAGUCGUAACAAGGUUUCCGUAGGUGAACCUGCGGAAGGAUCAUUUGUGAAAAUUUAAUGUUUUUUUUGAAGAGGGUUAAAAUCCUUUUUAGAAAAACAUAAAAAAAGAGAUUUCUUGUGGUUUAUAAAUGAUUUUUAAAAAAAUUGUUUGUUGUUGGAAAUUUAAACUUUCAAUGACAAACAAUUUAUAUUUUUAAAAAAUCAAUUUUUUAUAAAAAACUAUUUUAAACAUGUAUUUAAAAAAUUAACAGUUUUAAAAAAAUAAAUUAAAAAAAAUUAAAACUGUCAACGGUGGAUCUCUUGGCUCGU
rnacentral:misc_RNA from 1 species